AAACCGGUUGAUCCUGCCGGACCUGACCGCUAUCGGGGUAGGGCUAAGCCAUGCGAGUCGCGCGCCCGGGGCGCCGGGCGCGGCGCACGGCUCAGUAACACGUGCCUAACCUACCCUCGGGAGGGGGACAACCCCGGGAAACUGGGGC
rnacentral:ncRNA from 1 species